UACGUAGGCAGCAAGUGUUGUUCGGAGUUACUGGGCGUAAAGGGUGUGUAGGCGGUUUUUUAAGUUUGGUGUGAAAUCUCCCGGCUCAACUGGGAGGGUGCGCCGAAUACUGAAAGACUAGAGUGCGGGAGAGGAAAGUGGAAUUCCUGGUGUAGCGGUGAAAUGCGUAGAUAUCAGGAGGAACACCGGUGGUGUAGACGGCUUUCUGGACCGUAACUGACGA
rnacentral:rRNA from 1 species